rnacentral:rRNA from 1 species
GAUGAACGCUGGCGGCGUGCCUAAUACAUGCAAGUCGAGCGAAUGGAUUAAGAGCUUGCUCUUAUGAAGUUAGCGGCGGACGGGUGAGUAACACGUGGGUAACCUGCCCAUAAGACUGGGAUAACUCCGGGAAACCGGGGCUAAUACCGGAUAACAUUUUGAACCGCAUGGUUCGAAAUUGAAAGGCGGCUUCGGCUGUCACUUAUGGAUGGACCCGCGUCGCAUUAGCUAGUUGGUGAGGUAACGGCUCACCAAGGCAACGAUGCGUAGCCGACCUGAGAGGGUGAUCGGGCACACUGGGACUGAGACACGGCCCAGACUCCUACGGGAGGCAGCAGUAGGGAAUCUUCCGCAAUGGACGAAAGUCUGACGGAGCAAAGCCGCGUGAGUGAUGAAGGCUUUCGGGUCGUAAAACUCUGUUGUUAGGGAAGAACAAGUGCUAGUUGAAUAAGCUGGCACCUUGACGGUACCUAACCAGAAAGCCACGGCUAACUACGUGCCAGCCGCCGCGGUAA